AACGAACGCUGGCGGCAGGCUUAACACAUGCAAGUCGAGCGCCCCGCAAGGGGAGCGGCAGACGGGUGAGUAACGCGUGGGAACGUACCCUUUGCUACGGAAUAGCUCCGGGAAACUGGAAUUAAUACCGUAUGUGCCCUACGGGGGAAAGAUUUAUCGGCAAAGGAUCGGCCCGCGUUGGAUUAGCUAGUUGGUGGGGUAAUGGCCUACCAAGGCGACGAUCCAUAGCUGGUCUGAGAGGAUGAUCAGCCACAUUGGGACUGAGACACGGCCCAAACUCCUACGGGAGGCAGCAGUGGGGAAUAUUGGACAAUGGGCGCAAGCCUGAUCCAGCCAUGCCGCGUGCGUGAUGAAGGCCUUGGGUUGUAAAGCUCUUUCACCGGAGAAGAUAAUGACGGUAUCCGGAGAAGAAGCCCCGGCUAACUUCGUGCCAGCAGCCGCCGUAAAAC
rnacentral:rRNA from 1 species